UACGUAGGGGGCAAGCGUUGUCCGGAAUCAUUGGGCGUAAAGAGCGUGUAGGCGGCCCUGAUAAGUCCGCCGUGAAAGUCCAGGGCUCAACCCUGGAAUGCCGGUGGAAACUGUCGGGCUGGAGUCCGGAAGAGGCGAGUGGAAUCCUGGUGUAGCGGUGAAAUGCGCAGAUAUCAGGAGGAACACCAAUGGCGAAGGCAGCUCGCUGGGACGGUACUGACGCUGAGACGCGAAAGCGUGGGGAGCAAACAGG
rnacentral:rRNA from 1 species